rnacentral:rRNA from 1 species
CCUACGGGGGGCAGCAGCGGGGAAUAUUGCACAAUGGGCGCAAGCCUGAUGCAGCCAUGCCGCGUGUGUGAAGAAGGCCUUCGGGUUGUAAAGCACUUUCAGCGGGGAGGAAGGCGUUAAGGUUAAUAGCCUUGGCGAUUGACGUUACCCGCAGAAGAAGCACCGGCUAACUCCGUGCCAGCAGCCGCGGUAAUACGGAGGGUGCAAGCGUUAAUCGGAAUUACUGGGCGUAAAGCGCACGCAGGCGGUCUGUCAAGUCGGAUGUGAAAUCCCCGGGCUCAACCUGGGAACUGCAUUCGAAACUGGCAGGCUAGAGUCUUGUAGAGGGGGGUAGAAUUCCAGGUGUAGCGGUGAAAUGCGUAGAGAUCUGGAGGAAUACCGGUGGCGAAGGCGGCCCCCUGGACAAAGACUGACGCUCAGGUGCGAAAGCGUGGGGAGCAAACAGGAUUAGAUACCCUUGUAGUC